rnacentral:lncRNA from 1 species
ACUAGCCUAGGAUUAAUAUCAGCCCAUUUUUUGGAGGAGAACCAACAAGACUGGCUAUUUGACUGGAUCCCCCAAUUGGUUUACUCCAAGAUUCCUCUUCAUUGGCUUAAGAAGAUACAAGACAGGAGUCUCCAAUCCUUAGACCAUGGACCAAUAUCAACCAUGGCCAGUUAGCAACCCGGUAACAAAGCAGGAGGAAUAUGUUUAAUACUGUUCAAAAGAAGAGAAGGAAAGAAAAGCAAAAAGAACAGAGGAAAAGAAACCCAGAGGCAAGGAAUAAAAAAGUCCUAUACAAAAAGACUCCACCACAAAGAAGAUUGAGAGGCACAAGGAAAAUCAGCCCUGAGAAGUAAAUACUGUUGCUGUCAUCCCUAUUUUACAAAUGAGGAAACAAAAAUAGAGAAAUGAAGCAAUUUGUCCAAGAUCACUCUGCUGGCAAGCAACAGAACCAGGAGUUUAACCCAGGUAAAUGUGCUGUUAACCCCAUAGCAUAGACACCUCUGGACUUCUGAAACAGAAUCCUGUGACCACCGUGGAUGAAACAUAGACUCUCAUUAAGCUGCAGUUCCAAUGCCUGAGUAGCGUGAAUUGCUUCUAUGAUAAGGCAUUAUUUAGCCUUUGCCUGAAACAGCCCUAAUGAGAAGGAUCUCGCCACCUCAUGGCAUGGUCCAGUUCAUUUUCAGAAGCUUUCUUUGUAAUCUGUGCUUAUAAAAUUGUUAACAGGGGAUAGCUAAUAAAAUGGCCUCCUAAAAACUCUA